AAGAAAACUAGAAAACAAAAUAGACACACACCAUCAACUAGAUUAAAUAAGCUCUCCCAUAUACAUAGAUACACUGAUACAAUAAUGCAUAGAUACAUACAUAGAUACAAUAAUGAUUUACAAAAGAAAUUAAUCAAAAUUCGUCACUCUCCUUACAGAAUGCACAUUGGAAAGUUGUUUCAACAGCCCUUCCACUAGGCGCUUUCCUUUUUUGAUGAAGGCAUUCGCGACACUGCUUUUUGGGACCCUUGAUUUUUUCUAAUUUAUGGAGAUCGGCUGAAUUCAGAGGGAUAUCCCUCUGGCAGGCUUUGCUUUUUCUUCCUACAGUUAUUUAUUUUUUUUUUUUUUGGAAUAACCAGCUCUUAGUUGCGUUGCUACAUCUGCUCGGAACUGCAAAUGGUCGCAUCGCUUCCAAGCCGGUCCCGAUUUGGUAUAUAGUAUAAACGCAUUAAUAAUACUCAUAUUUACUAUAUACCAAACCAGGUAUCACCACCAUUUAUUCCCCGGUCCGCCAACUGGAUAGUAAGACACCAUCUGAUUCAGCCGAUCUACACCACCCAUGCACCUGUUAUAAUCGAGGUUCAUAAACAGCGUGCCAUUUUCAUCCACAUGUGGCCGUGCACAGGUAGACAGAAAAUUGAUCUGCCUCUUAUCUCUGUAUGCAGUCGCUAGCAAAUUUCCUUUCUGCCGUUGAAUUAUUUCACCUUU